GGCUCAAUGGUCUAGUGGUAUGAUUGUCGCUUCGGGUUUAAUCGCCCUCUCUUUGAUGAGAGAAGUUUGUGACAGGUCCCGGGUUCAAAUCCCGGUUGAGCCC